rnacentral:rRNA from 1 species
GAUGAACGCUGACAGAAUGCUUAACACAUGCAAGUCAACUUGAACUUCGGUUUGGGUGGCGGACGGGUGAGUAACGCGUAAAGAACUUGCCUCACAGCUAGGGACAACAUUUGGAAACGAAUGCUAAUACCUGAUAUUAUGAUUUUAGGGCAUCCUAGGAUUAUGAAAGCUAUAUGCGCUGUGAGAGAGCUUUGCGUCCCAUUAGCUAGUUGGAGAGGUAACGGCUCACCAAGGCGAUGAUGGGUAGCCGGCCUGAGAGGGUGAUCGGCCACAAGGGGACUGAGACACGGCCCUUACUCCUACGGGAGGCAGCAGUGGGGAAUAUUGGACAAUGGACCAAGAGUCUGAUCCAGCAAUUCUGUGUGCACGAUGAAGUUUUUCGGAAUGUAAAGUGCUUUCAGUUGGGAAGAAAAAAAUGACGGUACCAACAGAAGAAGUGACGGCUAAAUACGUGCCAGCAGCCGCGGUAAUACGUAUGUCACAAGCGUUAUCCGGAUUUAUUGGGCGUAAAGCGCGUCUAGGUGGUUAUGUAAGUCUGAUGUGAAAAUGCAGGGCUCAACUCUGUAUUGCGUUGGAAACUGUGUAUCUAGAGUACUGGAGAUGUAAGCGGAACUACGAGUGUAGAGGUGAAAUUCGUAGAUAUUUGUAGGAAUGCCGAUGGGGGAAGCCAGCUUACUGGACAGAUACUGACGCUGAAGCUCUAAAGCGUGGGGUAGCAAACAGGAUUAUAUACCCUAUUUGGCCGAGGGGUGAUUCCACAGUGGAUAUCAUGCUUAUCGAUCCCGCCCACCUCAAGGGGGGGUCCAAAUAUAACAAAUUUUUGUUCCUUUUGUGAGGGUUAUUACCUGUGGUGUGUGGGGGUGUGUGUUUAUUGAUGGUGCUGGCUGGUGUGUGGCUGUUUGUUUGUUGUGUGUGUGUGGUGAGUAUGAUUUUAUUAGUGAUGGUGUUGAUGUGUGUGUGUGUGUUGUGUGUUUUGUGUAUUUGUUGACUUGUGUUUUGUGUGUGUGUGUGGUAUGUUGUGUGUUGUGUGUUUGUGUGUGGUGUGAUGGUUGUGUGGUGGUUGGUGGUG